GGUGGGUUGAACCUGGUUUAAUUGCAUGCAACCUUCCACUUUAUGACAAUUCUAAAAAGUAUUGCUAAAACAGUAUGUGAAAGAAAGACAGCAAAAUCACACGAGAAAACAGAGAAAUGCAAAAAUAAUGAUAUAAUAAUCGACACAACAUGCAAAUCGCAGACCAACAACGAACAUAUUCCAUCAACGACAAACACCGGAGGAUAUGAAAAUUACAUGAAUGGUAUUUUCGAUACUUAGCAGACAAACGACAAAAAUGUUAAACCACAAUCUAAGAUAAAAUUGUCUUCAAAUAAUUUUGACAUAGACACAUCGUAUGGAUCAACCAAUGUGUGAUGAUAUCCAUAUAAGUUACGGAGUGUCGUAUUUUAUCUUUCCUCCUCAUAACUCUACAAUACAUUACACAAUAAAGUUCAAUAAAUUCAACAGUUAACAGUAAAUUGUUGUUAUAUUUCAUCAUACUCUUUUCUUUCAACAAACAUGCAGAAACUAAUUAUAUACAAAGCUAACGGACUAAAUGAACUAGCAAUGAUUCUAAUUAUCGGUACUUGUUCAUCUUUAUAGACAAUUCGAAUGGCAUAGAUGUAUAAAACUAAGUUAUAUACUAUGUCUGUACAAAAUAUCACAGUUACUGUAAUAGCAAAAUCGGUCAUUUUCCAGUCCACUAGAAUAAGACUGUACAGUAUAAUGUAUAGAUCAAAAAGCACAUCUAACAACUUAUAGUUAGCGUUCGACAGAUAUAUUAUGAAUCCAAACGUUCGCCAACCAGAUGCUACACAGACACUAAAUGUAGUUGUAUACAUCCAUACAAGGUGAAUUAUCAAAAGAGUAAACAAUACAACGGCUGAACUUGUAUUAACAAAAUUGGUUCUGUUGAGAACGCAGAUGACUAUCAGUGUUGCUAUGUUGCUAACACAUCCCAAAAUUACACGUAUGAUAUAUACUUUAGUUUGCCAAUAUUCAUCGGGUGUAAAGUCUCCUUUUUGAAACAGCAACAGGACUGAAGAUGUUAAGUCUGAAUAAAACUGGAAAUUCAUACUAAAGAAAUUUCUUGUUUUUCACAGUUUUAAAAAAACAUGAUCAACGUUAAACAUAACGUAAAUAAACACAAAUU
rnacentral:lncRNA from 1 species